CACGUAGGGGGCAAGCGUUGUCCGGAUUCAUUGGGCGUAAAGAGCUCGUAGGCGGUUCGAUAAGUCGGGUGUGAAACCUCCAGGCUCAACCUGGAGACGCCACCCGAUACUGUCGUGACUAGAGUCCAGUAGGGGAGUGUGGAAUUCCUGGUGUAGCGGUGAAAUGCGCAGAUAUCAGGAGGAACACCAGUGGCGAAGGCGGCACUCUGGGCUGGCACUGACGCUGAGGAGCGAAGCGUGGGAGCGAACAGG
rnacentral:rRNA from 1 species